GAUGAACGCUGGCGGCGUGCUUAACACAUGCAAGUCGAACGGAAAGGCCCAAGCUUGCUUGGGUGCUCGAGUGGCGAACGGGUGAGUAACACGUGGGUGAUCUGCCCUGCACUUUGGGAUAAGUUUGGGAAACUGGGUCUAAUACCGGAUAGGACCAUCGUCUAGUGUGGGUGGUGGAAAGUUUUUCGGUGUGGGAUGAGCUAGUGGCCUAUCAGCUUGUUGGUGGGGUAAUGGGCUACCAAGGCGUCGACGGGUAGUCGGCCUGGGAGGGUGUACGGCCACAAUGGGGCUGAGAUACGGCCCAGACGCCUACGGGGGGGAGGAGGGGGGAAUAUUGCACAAUGGGGGCGAACCUUAUGCAGCGACGCCGGGUGGGGGGAGACGGCCUUCGGGUUGUAAACUCCUUUCGCCAAGGACGGAGCGUUUAGUGACGGUACUUGGAGAAGAAGCACCGGCUAACUACGUG
rnacentral:rRNA from 1 species